CAAACGAAUAAUAAUUUAAUCUAUAUAUCGUUGCAAUAUGGGCAACAGUUUCUACCUGAAACCUUAAAUUUCAGACUAUAGAUAAUGAGCACAUUAGA
rfam:Lactobacillus jensenii JV-V16 chromosome, whole genome shotgun sequence.